rnacentral:rRNA from 1 species
UUUGUCAUUUAAUUAAUGAAUAUAAUGAAGAUUUUAUGAAUUAAAUACUGUCUUUAAAAAACAAAAUAAAAUUAAUAAUUUAGUGAAAAAUCUUAAUUAUUUUUAAAAGACGAUAAGACCCUAUAGAACUUAUUUAAAACUUAAAUUACUGGGGNAGUAANGAUAUAUAUAAAAUUAUUUU